rnacentral:misc_RNA from 1 species
GUGAAUCAUCGAAUUUUUGAACGCAAAUUGCACUUUCUGGUAUUCCGGAAAGUAUGCCUGUUUGAGGGUCAGUUAAAUAAAAAUCGGUGUUGUUGCUGCCGUUCGUGGUGACGCGUCGGAAUUGGGUCGUCUUACCUUCGGUUAAUAGACUUAAAAUUUUUGCUUGAUUUUCGAACGUAUUUAAUUCGCUUACGCACGUUUGAGAUUUCGAAUCUUUAUUAUGUUCGUGCAUU